AACGCCCCGCAAGGGGAGUGGCAGACGGGUGAGUAACGCGUGGGAACAUACCCUUUCCUGCGGAAUAGCUCCGGGAAACUGGAAUUAAUACCGCAUACGCCCUACGGGGGAAAGAUUUAUCGGGGAAGGAUUGGCCCGCGUUGGAUUAGCUAGUUGGUGGGGUAAAGGCCUACCAAGGCGACGAUCCAUAGCUGGUCUGAGAGGAUGAUCAGCCACAUUGGGACUGAGACACGGCCCAAACUCCUACGGGAGGCAGCAGUGGGGAAUAUUGGACAAUGGGCCAAGCCUGAUCCAGCCAUGCCGCGUGAGUGAUGAAGGCCUUAGGGUUGUAAAGCUCUUUCACCGGAGAAGAUAAUGACGGUAUCCGGAGAAGAAGCCCCGGCUAACUUCGUGCCAGCAGCCGCGGUAAUACGAAGGGGGCUAGCGUUGUUCGGAAUUACUGGGCGUAAAGCGCACGUAGGCGGAUAUUUAAGUCAGGGGUGAAAUCCCAGAGCUCAACUCUGGAACUGCCUUUGAUACUGGGUAUCUUGAGUAUGGAAGAGGUAAGUGGAAUUCCGAGUGUAGAGGUGAAAUUCGUAGAUAUUCGGAGGAACACCAGUGGCGAAGGCGGCUUACUGGUCCAUUACUGACGCUGAGGUGCGAAAGCGUGGGAGCAAACAGGAUUAGAUACCCUGGUAGUCCACGCCGUAAACGAUGAAUGUUAGCCGUCGGGGCAGUAUACUGUUCGGUGGCGCAGC
rnacentral:rRNA from 1 species